CAACGGUCAAUUAGAGCGAUCAACCAUGGGCGGAUAGAAGCUCUUCCUUAUCAUUAUUCACUAUAAGAAUAGAAAGAGGAUCGUGUGGACCCCAAUCACACCAAAACCCUAAUCAGCUCCAUCGCUUUGCUUCCUCCGCUCCGCUACCGAUUCUUUGUAUGGACUGGUUUACUCUAGGGAUAUGAUCAGCUUUAUCGAAUUGCAUGCAGUCAUGGAUAAAUUUUGAGCCACAUGAAAGAGUUUCGAGUGAGUUUUUGGCGGCAGGGUUUGCAUGAACGUUGGUAAUCAAUUGUUUAUCCGAAGAGGGACCAUUGAGAAUUUUACUUUCAGAGAGCUUUGAUAGGAAUGGACAUCCACAGAGUAAAAAGGAGAAGAGAAAAGGGGGAAGAAAGGAUAAAGUGAAGAAUGGAGAGGCGAGAAUGGAAUGAUCUAUGGGCAAGCUCCCUCAAUUGCCCAGAAGAUCGAAGGCUUCAUAUAAUUUCUAUACAGUCCAAAGGCUUCAUCGGACUGGAAGAGUUUUUCCUUUGAGUGCUUGUACAUCUCGAGAUUAGUUUAGCUUUGUCCGGAUGCUGAGUGCCAAUAAUAAUUAAAAAAGAAAUCUAUGUACAGUUUAUGAUUGUAUUGUAUUAGUUUUGACAUUAUUUGUAAAAUUGGGGUUUUGUAUUGUUUUAGUUGUGACAUUAUUUGUAAAAUUGGGGUUUUAUUGAAUGAGAUUUUAUUGUAGAAAA